GGGAUGCAGCGGGGUGGAAACGCGCACCUUUGUCCGUUGUUUCUGUAUCGUCGCAGGUGGGACGCGUCACCGGUUUAGGUUCGAGUCCCACCCGCCCCACCA
rnacentral:tRNA from 1 species